CAGUGACGUGAAGGAAACACGAGUGCCCUUUCCUUUGUUAGGUUUGGACUGGUUUCUGCCCAGCAAGCCUCGCACAUUUCCACAUCAUGGAAUGGAUCUCCACAGGAAGAAAAGUCUUCAGUAGAUGAAAAACCAAACCUGAAAUAUUUGGAGCAAGAAAGGAAGAUCAAAUAUGAAGUGGUUUUGACUGGGAGAUCAUCUGGACUCGGAAGCAAAGCUGUUGUUCAAAACGUAGGCCCUCACUGUGGUGCUUUCCCUGUGUGACUAAGGCCUUCCAAAGACCAGCAAAGCAAGGGAAGGAGUAUAUGUGCAUCUUCCAAGCCAGUGGGAGACCCUUCACUAAUGCAGUUAUGAAGGAAGGUUAUGAAAAUGUGUAAUAAUGGUUGGGUCAGAAAACCUUUCUUCCAGAAAUAUCAGAAAGGGAAAAUACCCAGUGCCCAUCAGGUCAAGAAUAAGUUACAAGAGAUUAAGUGGUAGAAAGUUUUUAAAAGAUCCUUAUGAACAUCUGUGAAGGACACCACGUACUUUCUGGAAGGCAGAGUUGUUCCUCUAUCCCUGCAGAGCUGGUGGAAGGGCAGCCCAGAGACUGCAGAUUAAAAUCCUGGCACCAAGAGGGAAGACUGUUGCUCAAGGACAGCCUGCUGAGAGGAGCAGCGAACCAGCAGCCAAGCCCCAGCGGUGAUGGAGAAAACUUUAUGCAGACUGCAGAAGACUCUGCCAGGUGUGCUGCUACUAGGGAAGCCACUGGGUUGACUGGAACAAAGCCUAGAAGCAAGAUUUGAUCUUCCUUUGAAAAUUCACCAAAAUAAAAUGUCAAGGCAAAUCUAUUGCAAAGCUGAGGCUGACUUAGGGGUUGUCACAGUGUUGAAGAACUGCUAUUGAUUAGCAAAGCCAAUCACAAAUUAAAGGAAUUUUUUUGUCUUCUGAGAAAGCUCCCUAAAGUACUUAGACAACUGGGUCAGUGAUCUAGAGCGUCUUCUAGGCUGAAGAUAUGUAACAAUAGAAAAAGCAACAGAGCUGUUGCCAAUGGAAAACAGAAGAUGGGGAAGGCAGAAGUGCAGAAGAACAUCUGUAGUUUCCAAACUGAAUUGACUAGGUGCAAAUCUCUGAAGAGUUGAGGGGGUAAAAAAUAGUUAUCUUUUAAGUCAGAAAUGAGUGUGUAUAGAGCAAUUUCAAUUACUUUGAGUGAAAUGUCCAUUCUCCAGGAUUCUGCAGUACGGAUAAAACUGAACUGAAGGUUUCACCAUCCCACAAUCACCCCAUUACCACCUCUCCCCCAGUUACAUAGAGCAGCAGUCAGGUCCUAUACUCACAUUCAGUUUUGUUACAACUGGCAAUCUGAUGUGGUUAGUUGAAAUAAACUGAAGAGAGUUGCUCUGCUAAAGCUCAAAAUCUUUUCUUUAUAGAAAACCUCAGUUAGACCAACUAAUAAAGCCAAGUGGAAGAUAUAUCCUAUUUGGGCAUCUCAGUGUUAACUAUUUCCCUUGACAACACCCGUUUCAGAAAUAUUGAACUAUUUAGUGUCUCUGAAACAUCUGGACUUUCUACUUGUUUCAUAAGUCUCUAACAAAAAAUAUCUGCACAUCAUCCAUCAAUCCACGGCCACAUUCUUUUCUCACCCUAUCAUGAUUAGAUUCCUUGGGAGGUUGUAAGAGUUUUUUUCCUAAUGCUUUUCUCCCAGUUUUUCUUGGACAUCCUCAUAUUAUUAAUGGUCUCGAUAUGUGCUCACUUCAAGCCAUUAGAAAUUAAGCUAGUGUUUUAAGAAGUUGUUAUACAACCUGGAGAAAUGGGGAUUUUGGGGGAGCUGUCAUCUUUUCUUAGCCACAAUUGACCCAGUCUGACAAAACUGAGACAGAUCUCAUUCACUGUUAGAAGAAUAUCCCCCGCCUAUUGAGAUGUAGAAAGCAAUAGUACAGUGUUUCGUCCAAGACAAUUUUUCUGGUAGGAACAUGCAGAUCAGAGGCACUAUAGCUAAGCCUGUCCUGCUAUAAGUGAAUGGAAACUCCUAAACAUCUCCUCUCUAAACAGGUACAUAGCUGCUUUCUACAGACCAAGAUGCAUGCAGAACAGUCGCUCCAUGGAAAAAGAGCUCUCUGUCCUCUGUGUGGACCUUGUCUCUAAGAGCUUUUCCUGUAGUUUAAACAGUAUCUACUUGCACUAUGUCUAUCAAGAAACUAAAAAGUAAUUAUAUAUCCUACUG